rnacentral:tRNA from 1 species
GCCUUCGUGGUGUAAUGGUCAGCACGCUCGGCGCGUAUUCGAGAGGUCCGUGGUUCGAAUCCCGGCGAUGGCA